AACGAACGCUGGCGGCAGGCCUAACACAUGCAAGUCGAGCGAGACCUUCGGGUCUAGCGGCGGACGGGUUAGUAACGCGUGGGGAACUGCCCUUCUCUGCGGAAUAGCCACUGGAAACGGUGAGUAAUACCGCAUACGCCCUUCCGGGGGAAAGAUUUAUCGGAGAAGGAUCGGCCCGCGUUAGAUUAGAUAGUUGGUGGGUAACGGCCUACCAAGUCUACGAUCUAUAGCUGGUUUUAGAGGAUGAUCAGCAACACUGGGACUGAGACACGGCCCAGACUCCUACGGGAGGCAGCAGUGGGGAAUAUUGGACAAUGGGCGCAAGCCUGAUCCAGCCAUGCCGCGUGUGUGAUGAAGGUCUUAGGAUCGUAAAGCACUUUCGCCAGGGAUGAUAAUGACAGUACCUGGUAAAGAAACCCGGCUAACUCCGUG
rnacentral:rRNA from 1 species